rnacentral:rRNA from 1 species
UGGGGGAUAUUGCACAAUGGGCGAAAGCCUGAUGCAGCGACGCCGCGUGGGGGAUGAAGGCCUUCGGGUUGUAAACUUCUUUUGUUCUGAACAAGGCAUGCUAAUGGGUGUGUUGAGUGUAGGGGUUGAUUAGCGCCGGCUAACUACGUGCCAGCAGCCGCGGUAAUACGUAGGGCGCGAGCGUUGUCCGGAAUUAUUGGGCGUAAAGGGCUUGUAGGUGGCUGGUUGCGUCUGUCGUGAAAGCUCAUGGCUUAACUGUGGGUUUGCGGUGGGUACGGGCUGGCUUGAGUGCAGUAGGGGAGGCUGGAAUUCCUGGUGUAGCGGUGGAAUGCGCAGAUAUCAGGAGGAAUACCGGUGGCGAAGGCGGGUCUCUGGGCUGUUACUGACACUGAGGAGCGAAAGCAUGGGGAGCGAACAGG